rnacentral:miRNA from 1 species
GCGCUCACCUCGUGACCUUUGU